CCUACGGUGAGCAGCAGUGAGGAAUAUUGGUCAAUGGGCGCUAGCCUGAACCAGCCAAGUAGCGUGAAGGAUGACUGCCCUAUGGGUUGUAACCUUCUUUUAUAUGGGAAUAAAGUGCAGUAUGUAUACUGCUUUGCAUGUACCUUAUGAAUAAGGAUCGGCUAACGCCGUGCCAGCAGCCGCGGUAAUACGGAGGAUUCGAGCGUUAUCCGGAUUUAUUGGGUUUAACGGGAGCGUAGGCGGGUUGUUACGUCAGUUGUGAAAGUUUGCGGCUCAACCGUAAAAUUGCAGUUGAUACUGGCAUCCUUGAGUACAGUAGAGGUAGGCGGAAUUCGUGGUGUAGCGGUGAAAUGCUUAGAUAUCACGAAGAACUCCGAUUGCGAAGGCGGCCUGCUGGGCUUUUACUGACGCUGAGGCUCGAAAGUGUGGGGAGCAAACAGGAGUAGAUACCCCUGUAGUC
rnacentral:rRNA from 1 species